rnacentral:rRNA from 1 species
UACGGAGGGUGCAAGCGUUAUCCGGAUUCACUGGGUUUAAAGGGCGCGUAGGCGGCGCAACAAGUCACUUGUGAAAUCUCCGGGCUUAACCCGGAGCGGCCAAGUGAUACUGUCGUGCUAGAGUGCGGAAGGGGCUACUGGAAUUCUCGGUGUAGCGGUGAAAUGCGUAGAUAUCGAGAGGAACACCUGCGGCGAAGGCAGGUCUCUGGGCAUUAACUGACGCUGAGGAGCGAAAGCAUGGGGAGCGAACAGG